rnacentral:rRNA from 1 species
GACGAACGCUGGCGGCGUGCCUAAUACAUGCAAGUUGAGCGCUGAAGGUUGGUACUUGUACCAACUGGAUGAGCAGCGAACGGGUGAGUAACGCGUGGGGAAUCUGCCUUUGAGCGGGGGACAACAUUUGGAAACGAAUGCUAAUACCGCAUAAAAACUUUAAACACAAGUUUUAAGUUUGAAAGAUGCAAUUGCAUCACUCAAAGAUGAUCCCGCGUUGUAUUAGCUAGUUGGUGAGGUAAAGGCUCACCAAGGCGAUGAUACAUAGCCGACCUGAGAGGGUGAUCGGCCAAAUUGGGACUGGGACACGGCCCAAACUCCUACGGGAGGCAGCAGUAGGGAAUCUUCGGCAAUGGACGAAAGUCUGACCGAGUAACGCCGCGUGAGUGAAGAAGGUUUUCGGAUCGUAAAACUCUGUUGGUAGAGAAGAACGUUGGUGAGAGUGGAAAGCUCAUCAAGUGACGGUAACUACCCAGAAAGGGACGGCUAACUACGUG